rnacentral:rRNA from 1 species
UACGUAGGGUGCGAGCGUUGUCCGGAAUUAUUGGGCGUAAAGGGCUCGUAGGCGGUUUGUCGCGUCGGGAGUGAAAACUCAGGGCUUAACCCUGAGCCUGCUUCCGAUACGGGCAGACUAGAGGUAUGCAGGGGAGAACGGAAUUCCUGGUGUAGCGGUGAAGUGCGCAGAUAUCAGGAGGAACACCAAUGGCGAAGGCAGCUCGCUGGAACGGUACUGACGCUGAGGUGCGAAAGCGUGGGGAGCGAACAGG